rnacentral:rRNA from 1 species
UGCAGUCGACGAGGUCGCCUUCGGGCAAUGACCAAGUGGCGAACGGGUGCGUAACACGUGAGGAACCUGCCCCGAAGACUGGGACAACCACGGGAAACUGUGGCUAAUACCAGAUGCCCUCCGCUGAUCGCAUGAUCGGCAGAGGAAAUGCUCCGGCGCUUCGGGAGGGCCUCGCGGCCUAUCAGCUUGUUGGUGAGGUAACGGCUCACCAAGGCAUCGACGGGUAGCUGGUCUGAGAGGACGAUCAGCCACACUGGGACUGAGACACGGCCCAGACUCCUGCGGGAGGCAGCAGUGGGGAAUCUUGCGCAAUGGGCGAAAGCCUGACGCAGCAACGCCGCGUGGGGGAUGAAGGCUCUCGGGUUGUAAACCCCUUUCAGCAGGGACGAAAUUGACGGUACCUGAAGAAGAAGCCCCGGCCAACUACGUGCCAGCAGCCGCGGUGACACGUAGGGGGCGAGCGUUGUCCGGAAUUAUUGGGCGUAAAGAGCUCGUAGGCGGUUUAGUAAGUCAGAUGUGAAAGGUUGGGGCUCAACCCUAAGACUGCAUCCGAUACUGCUAUGACUAGAGUCCGGUAGAGGAGUGUGGAAUUCCUGGUGUAGCGGUGAAAUGCGCAGAUAUCAGGAGGAACACCGACGGCGAAGGCAGCACUCUGGGCCGGUACUGACGCUCAGGAGCGAAAGCGUGGGUAGCAAACAGGAUUAGAUACCCUGGUAGUCCACGCCGUAAACGUUGGGCACUAGGUGUGGGGCCUUAUCAACGGGUUCCGUGCCGUAGCUAACGCAUUAAGUGCCCCGCCUGGGGAGUACGGCCGCAAGGCUAAAACUCAAAGGAAUUGACGGGGGCCCGCACAAGCGGCGGAGCAUGUUGCUUAUUUCGAGGCAACGCGAAGAACCUUACCUGGGUUUGACAUGUACGGAAAAGCCAUAGAGAUAUGGUGUCCUUUGGGGCCGUACACAG